AUUGAACGCUGGCGGCAGGCCUAACACAUGCAAGUCGAGCGGAUGAAGGGAGCUUGCUCCUGGAUUCAGCGGCGGACGGGUGAGUAAUGCCUAGGAAUCUGCCUGGUAGUGGGGGAUAACGUCCGGAAACGGGCGCUAAUACCGCAUACGUCCUGAGGGAGAAAGUGGGGGAUCUUCGGACCUCACGCUAUCAGAUGAGCCUAGGUCGGAUUAGCUAGUUGGUGGGGUAAAGGCCUACCAAGGCGACGAUCCGUAACUGGUCUGAGAGGAUGAUCAGUCACACUGGAAAUGAGAAAAGGUCCAGACUCCUACGGGAGGCAGAAGUGGGGAAUAUUGGACAAUGGGCGAAAGCCUGAUCCAGCCAUGCCGCGUGUGUGAAGAAGGUCUUCGGAUUGUAAAGCACUUUAAGUUGGGAGGAAGGGCAGUAAGUUAAUACCUUGCUGUUUUGACGUUACCAACAGAAUAAGCACCGGCUAACUUCGUG
rnacentral:rRNA from 1 species